CACGUAGGGUGCGAGCGUUGUCCGGAAUCACUGGGCGUAAAGCGCACGUAGGCGGAUCUUUAAGUCAGGGGUGAAAUCCCAAGGCUCAACCUUGGAACUGCCUUUGAUACUGGGGAUCUCGAGUCCGGAAGAGGUUGGUGGAACUGCGAGUGUAGAGGUGAAAUUCGUAGAUAUUCGCAAGAACACCAGUGGCGAAGGCGGCCAACUGGUCCGGUACUGACGCUGAGGUGCGAAAGCGUGGGGAGCAAACAGGG
rnacentral:rRNA from 1 species